GGAUCUGAACUGAUGCCUUUCUGGGGGAAGAGCCUAUUUUCCAUCUGGGAAAGUGCCUCUUUGUGUGGUGUGAGGAAACAGCAGUCCAUAGUACCUCAGGCAGCUUGUGAGGACCAGGCUUCUUACCAGAUCAAGUUUUCACUCCACAGACCUGCCUUUCUCUCAAGGAAGCCCUCCAGAGUGGAGCCCCACCCUUCCCAGCUUGGGUUGGUUUGUUGCGUGAUUCUGCAGGUGGAUUAGCAGGAAUAAUGGACUUAAUAGACGGCACCUAUGUGCAAGGGUCUUUGGGACUACGUUGGACUGAUUGAAGUGCCUACCUCAAUCGGCAAAUGCAAAUUGCAAUCAAGAAAAGAAUCCAGAACUCACGGCAAGAGAUGCAGAGACAAACAUCAGAACAGAGACAUGAGGCAAAACCAGGUAUAAGAAAUCAUUCAAGAAAGAAAAGAGAAAUCAUUCCGUGUCAGAAGCCAAUAUCAUCAGAAGCAGGUCCUGGGACUAAGAUCUGAGACUGCAGUCCAGGCCUCAGGAAACCUCUCAAGAUGCAAAUGCAGUCCCCACCAUGUGUCCUAAUUGUCUUGCUCUGGUGACCCUCGUUACCUCUCUGCCUCUUCACUUAGAUUCUUCAGGUCAGUUGUCCAGCUGGACUUUCUAUGUGGCUUUGUGCAUAAUAAACAUGGUCUGUGU